CUGGGUUGUAGAUAGGAUAAAUACAUCGCUUGCAAUGGGAAAGCAACAUACUGAACAAAAGCUGUUAGGUGAAGCUGGACAUAUGCAAUAAACAUUAACUUUUACACGCUAAGUUGAAUAUGAGUUGGAUAGAAUUGACUGGAGAAAAGUUGAAUUUCAAGACAACCAAGCAUGUUUAGAUCUCAUUGAGCAGCUCCAUCACUGAAAUUGAUUGAUUUUCAUGGGCCGGGGUAGAUAAAGGAAAUCUUGAUGAUU